rnacentral:rRNA from 1 species
AUUGAACGCUGGCGGCAGGCCUAACACAUGCAAGUCGAGCGAGCGGCGGACGGGUGGGCAAUGUAUGGGGCUCUGCCCGAUAGAGGGGGAUAACUACUGGAAACGGUUGCUAAUACCGCAUACUAUCGGCUGAACCCAUAUGGGAUUAGCUAGUGGUUGGGGUAAAGGCUCACCUAGGCGACGAUCUCUAGCUGGUCUGAGAGGAUGAUCAGCCACACUGGGACUGAGACACGGUCCAGACUCCUACGGGAGGCAGCAGUGGGGAAUAUUGGACAAUGGGCGCAAGCCUGAUGCAGCCAUGCCGCGUGUAUGAAGAAGGCCUUAGGGUUGUAAAGUUCUGUCAGCGGGGAGGCGGUACCCGCCGAGGAAGCCCCGGCUAACUCCGUGCCAGCAGCCGCGGUAAUAC